rnacentral:piRNA from 1 species
UACUGGCUGCCAUACACAAUGACACGACUGU